CCUACGGGUGGCAGCAGUGAGGAAUAUUGGUCAAUGGACGAGAGUCUGAACCAGCCAAGUAGCGUGAAGGAUGACUGCCCUAUGGGUUGUAAACUUCUUUUAUAUGGGAAUAAAACGUUCCACGUGUGGGAUUUUGUAUGUAUCAUAUGAAUAAGGAUCGGCUAACUCCGUGCCAGCAGCCGCGGUAAUACGGAGGAUCCGCGCGUUAUCCGGAUUUAUUGGGUUUAAAGGGAGCGUAGGUGGAUUGUUAAGUCAGUUGUGAAAGUUUGCGGCUCAACCGUAAAAUUGCAGUUGAAACUGGCAGUCUUGAGUACAGUAGAGGUUGGCGGAAUUCGUGGUGUAGCGGUGAAAUGCUUAGAUAUCACGAAGAACUCCGAUUGCGAAGGCAGUUCACUGGACUGCAACUGACGCUGAGGCUCGAAAGUGUGGGUAUCAAACAGGAUUAGAUACCCGUGUAGUC
rnacentral:rRNA from 1 species